CCUACGGGAGGCAGCAGUGAGGAAUAUUGGUCAAUGGACGAGAGUCUGAACCAGCCAAGCAGCGUGAAGGAUGACUGCCCUCUGGGUUGUAAACUUCUUUUAUAUGGGAAUAAAAUGUUAAACGUGUGGGAUUUUGUAUGUACCAUAUGCGUAAGGAUCGGCUAACUCCGUGCCAGCAGCCGCGGUAAUACGGAGGAUCCGAGAGUUAUCCGGAUUUAUUGGGUUUAAAGGGAGCGCAGGUGGAUUGUUAAGUCAGUUGUGAAAGUUUGCGGCUCAACCGGAGAAUUGCAGUUGAAACUGGCAGUCUUGAGUACAGUAGAGGUGGGUGGAAUUCGAGGUGUAGCGGUGAAAUGCUUAGAUAUCACGAAGAACUCCGAUGGCGAAGGCAGUUCACUGGACUGCAACUGACACUGAGGCUCGAAAGUGUGGGUAUCAAACAGGAUUAGAUACCCCAGUAGUC
rnacentral:rRNA from 1 species